GUAAAUAUAGUUUUAACAAAAACGUUAGAUUGUGAUUCUAAAAAUAGAGGAUAAACCCCACUUAUUUACC
rnacentral:tRNA from 1 species